ACACAUAGAGUGUGCGUGUGUAUAUACGAUCGAUCAGGGGCAGAGGGGGAGGUGAAACCCUAGUUUCACCAAAAUCCAUCAAAUUGAAGGGGGAUUGAAGGGCUAAACUAAUGCAUGAACCAAGAUUGUCGAUCACCUUAGUGUUUCUACCAUCAUGAUCAUGUUUAAAGGGGAAAGCAUGGAAGGCAAACGGAAAAGGGAUGAUGAAGCAUGUACGAAACGGACACUCGAGGUAAGUGAUUCCGUAAUCACUUCUUAGUUUGUUUAAGUAGUGUAGCGUUUUAGUUAAUUAAACAUGAUGUUUAAUGUCAAAUAUGGAUUUAGUUGAAUGAAAUUGGUGAAUUUUUCUAAGUAGACCAAACGGGUCAAAAUGAGGUCUUAUGAUUAUAUCGAAAAGUUGUAUAAGAAAUGGCUACGGUAGUAUAAAUGGUUAAUGGGUAGAAUUGCACAUAAGUACGCAAUCCGGGAAUCGGAGAUGUGGUUUAAUAGUCAAAAGACUCAGAUGUGAGUUGGUUUAAUAGAUAUACAUUUGCGCAAGUGGAGGUUUUAGUAACAAGUUUGAUACGUAGAUUUAAAUGGAAUGAAUGAAAUUAAUGAAUACCGGGUAUCGGUUGCGUAAACCCCAAGUACGAAACUCUAAAUAAUAUAAGAGUAUUAUGGAUAUAAUGUUCAUGUAUGUUUUGGGUUAAAACAAAGGAGUGGUUUGAUGAAAACAUAAACGGGUCAAAUAAUUAGAAAAUGAUUAUUAAGCCAAUAGCGUGUAAGUUAAGAAUUUCCUUAAUCCGGAUAUGGGAUUUUAAGUUCAUAUGAUAGAAUGUGAAUUUACAAGCAUAUAGGAAGAAACGUGAGGUUAAACGGUCAACCGGGUUCAAAGUUAUGCGAGAUUUAGUGGGCGUUUUGUAUCUGCACCCGGAGUAUGGAACGCCGGGUUUGGGAGUAUGGAACGCCGGGCAGAAACCCAAACGCCCAUGCUUCACUGUCAAACGCUGGUUCCAUGUUAAAGUGAACGUCGGGGUGUUCCAAACAAGCCUAGAUCACUUUCCUUGAGUUCCUUUGAUGUAUGUAAAGCUCCAUGUGAUAGGUUUAUGAUCCGGAAUCAUCACGCAAUCUUCCACCACUACCCUACAUGUAAAAAUGCAUCAAAGUAACAUGUCUCGAACUCUCGAUACAAAUUCGAUGCUAAAACAUGUAAAUAUUAACCACUUAGGCGUACCAAAAGCAUAUGCAUCAUAUAUGUACGUAUGUAUGUAUGUAUAAAUAUGAUUGUAUGUAGAUAUGUAGGUGCGUAUGAUCAGACGUAUGAAUAUAUGAAUGCACGAAGUAGGAUUUAUCGUCUAUGAAAAGAAUGGGACAGGUAUGCAUGUAUACAUGGUUUCAAUACGUUUGAGUAUGGACGUUACUAAUGAUGUGCUUGAGAUUGAAAUGUAAUGCAGGAAUGAGAACACCAGACUCUUGUAGAAUUGAAGCCAAACCUUGAAGCCGAACUCGGAACAAAGGAAUCCGAGAGGAUAGUCGAAUGAAUCAAAGUUUAUGUUGUCGAAUGUUAUAUGAUUUUUAAUUUGUAUCAGAUUAUUGUUGUAUGACGUUGUCAAUGACUAAUGGUUAAGUUGUAUGUGGUGUCCACAGGUACUACACGGAUUUCUUCUACCACUAUCGAAGAUAAGCGGGCAUAGAUCGAGUCGAAUAACAAGGGUUGUACGGAAAGAACGGUUACGUGGUCUUAAUUUUGUAACGCGUUAACCUUUAAAAAGGGAAGUGAAUUUUGUAAGCUUCUUCUUGAAUGUGUGUAUUGUUAUAAGACCAUAAAGAAAUUUUUAAAGCUAUUUUUCCGCUGCGUUAUCUUUAAGUUCUUACACGACGAUCUUACAGGGAAUUGUUCUUAUUACGAACGGGUCAUGCCCGAAUUUUUCUUAAAUAAUAGUAUGGUAAUAUUACUUUUCGGACUAAGAAAUAUGGGCGUUACAUUAACUUCGUACGAGCCUACCCUUGACAUGUAUAGCGUUAUAGUAAUAACGCACCGCCUGUGAACGUUGGGUCAUGUUAAGACGUUAUUUACGUUAAACUUUGGGUUGACUAGUUUGUUCACAUGCCAAUUUAUUGUUUAUCUUGUUAACUAGUUUGCCAUGAGGAUUCGUUUAAAAUUUACUUCCUUGUGUUAUGUAACAAAUACUUGUAUACUCGCCAAUGCCUUGUGUGUUGAUCUAUACUUUAUAACAUGUUGCAGGAUGAUGCUGAUGAUUUAAAUGGGCUUAGUGACAAGGCUUUAGAUACACAUCGAGACAUCUUAGAUUUAAAUGUUGUAUCAAUUUUGUACUAUGUUAUUUGUAUCAUUUGUUGUAUUUGACUUUCUUGUAUUGUAAUCCGACUUUUGGAAAUGAAAUUAGUUUAUGUUAAUUU